ACACAGGUGCUGCAUGGCUGUCGUCAGCUCGUGUCGUGAGAUGUUGGGUUAAGUCCCGCAACGAGCGCAACCCUUGUCUUAUGUUGCCAGCACGUGAUGGUGGGGACUCGUAAGAGACUGCCGGGGUCAACUCGGAGGAAGGUGGGGACGACGUCAAGUCAUCAUGCCCCUUAUGUCCAGGGCCUCACACAUGCUACAAUGGCCAGUACAGAGGGCUGCGAGACCGUGAGGUGGAGCGAAUCCCUUAAAGCUGGUCUCAGUUCGGAUCGGGGUCUGCAACUCGACCCCGUGAAGUCGGAGUCGCUAGUAAUCGCAGAUCAGCAACGCUGCGGUGAAUACGUUCCCGGGCCUU
rnacentral:rRNA from 1 species